rnacentral:rRNA from 1 species
UACAGAGGGUGCGAGCGUUGUCCGGAAUCACUGGGCGUAAAGGGCGCGUAGGCGGGCUGCCGCGUCCGGGGUGAAAUCCUCCGGCUCAACCGGGGAAGGGCCUCGGAUACGGGCGGCCUCGAGGGGGGUAGGGGCGUGCGGAACUGUGGGUGGAGCGGUGAAAUGCGUUGAGAUCCACAGGAACUCCGGUGGCGAAGGCGGCACGCUGGACCCCUACUGACGCUGAGGCGCGAAAGCCAGGGGAGCGAACGGG